GAUGAACGCUGGCGGCGUGCCUAAUACAUGCAAGUCGAGCGAACAGACGAGGAGCUUUCUCCUCUGACGUUAGCGGCGGACGGGUGAGUAACACGUGGAUAACCUACCUAUAAGACUGGGAUAACUUCGGGAAACCGGAGCUAAUACCGGAUAACAUGUUGAACCGCAUGGUUCAACAGUGAAAGACGGUCUUGCUGUCACUUAUAGAUGGAUCCGCGCCGCAUUAGCUAGUUGGUAAGGUAACGGCUUACCAAGGCAACGAUGCGUAGCCGACCUGAGAGGGUGAUCGGCCACACUGGAACUGAGACACGGUCCAGACUCCUACGGGAGGCAGCAGUAGGGAAUCUUCCGCAAUGGGCGAAAGCCUGACGGAGCAACGCCGCGUGAGUGAAGAAGGUCUUCGGAUCGUAAAACUCUGUUAUUAGGGAAGAACAAAUGUGUAAGUAACUAUGCACGUCUUGACGGUACCUAAUCAGAAAGCCACGGCUAACUACGUG
rnacentral:rRNA from 1 species